rfam:Candidatus Giovannonibacteria bacterium RIFCSPHIGHO2_01_FTLL_48_47 rifcsphigho2_01_scaffold_121477, whole genome shotgun sequence.
GGAGCGGAAAAUAAGAGCGUAUGGUGGAUGCCUAGGGUUUCGAAGACGAUGAAGGACGUGGCGUGACUGCGAUAAGCAUCGGGGAGGUGUCGAGCAACCUUUGAUCCGGUGAUUUCCGAAUGGGGUAACCUAAUUCGAGUAAUGUCGAAUUGCUUUCCGAGUAACUUCGGACUGCGUGCACCUGGGGAAGUGAAACAUCUCAGUACCCAGAGGAAAAGAAAACAAUCCCGCGGAAUGCGGGACAUUCCCUAAGUAGCGGCGAGCGAAAGGGGAAAAGCCCAAACCUCGCUUCACUAUUCAGGAAUUUAUUUUUGAUUAGUGGGCGGGGGGUAGUAAGAAAAAGACUUUCCGGAGCGUAUAGCUAUGUUCCUGGAAGGGAGUUUAGAAAUAUAGAAGUUGUUUAGGGGAACGGCCCUGGAAAGGCCGGCCAAAGAGGGUAAUAGCCCCGUACUUAAAAAACCUUUUAUGCUCCUUGUCUUUUUUCUUGAGUACUUCGAGAACAAGAUAAGCUCGGAGGAAACAGGGAGAACUACUCUCCUAAGGCUAAAUACUUCGAAACACCGAUAGUGAACUAGUACCGUGAGGGAAAGGUGAAAAGCAGCCCGGUGAGGGCGGUGAAAUAGUACCUGAAACCAUAUGCUUACAAGGACUCGGAGCCCGUUCACGCGCAAGCGUGUUCAGGGUGACGGGGUGCCUAUUGAAGAAUGAGCCAACGAGUUAUAGUACGCUGCUAGUCUAAUUCCGUUAUAGCGGGAGGAGGCGUAGGGAAACCGAGUCUUAAUAGGGCGUUUGCAGUUUGCUAUAGACCCGAAGCCAGGUGAGCUACCCCUGGCCAGGAUGAAUCCCGCCGAAAGGCGGGAGGAGGUCCGCACCGGUUAGUCGUACAACGCUAUCGGAUGAGUUGGGGGUAGGAGUGAAAAGCUAAUCGAACCUGGGAAUAGCUGGUUCUCUCCGAAAUAGCUUUUGGGCUAGCGUCCGCUACAACUACGCAGGUAGAGCUACUGGAAGGUUCGUAAAGGGAGAAAUCUCGACGUACCUACCAAACUCCGAAUGGCGUAGCUUUGGGCGGCCAGUCAGACUACGGGGGCUAAGCUCCGUCGGUCGAGAGGGCAACAGCCCAGAUCUCAAUCUAAGGCCCCAAAAUCUCUCUUAAGUGUAAGUGAGGCGGUGAGGUUUCAAUGACAGCGAGGAGGUUGGCUUAGAAGCAGCCAUCCUUCAAAGAGUGCGUAACAGCUCACUCGUCAAGAGACCUUGCGCCGCAGAUAAUCGGGACUAAAGAGAGUGCCGAAGGUGAGGCUCCGCUAACAUUUGAAAUAUUAAUGUAAAGCGGGGGGUAGGAGAGCGUUCCUAGUGCAGUGAAGUCCACGGCGUGAGCCGGGAUGGAGCGCUGGGAAGUGAGAAUGUUGGCACAAGUAACCACAAUGCCGGUGAAAAACCGGCACGCCGCAAACCUAAGGUUUCCUUGGCAAUGAUUGUCAGCCAAGGGUUAGUCGGUCCUAAGCCAAUGGCGAAAGCCGCAGGUAAUGGACACACGGUUAAUAUUCCGUGACUUCCUUCUUUUUCGAUGAAGGGACGAAGGUUAGUAUGUUCUGCGUGUUAUUGGAUUCGCGUUUGUGCGAUGAGGAGUGUCCCGUAGAAAAUCUCGGGACGGCCUUUUGGCAACUCUUAGUCGAGCAAAAAUUUUCCGCCUCGGCGGAGGAAAUGGAACAAAGCAGCCUUCCUAGAAAAGCUUCUAAGAUUAUGAAGAGGGAAACCGUACCGAAAACCGACACAGGUGGGUGAGGCGAGUAGCCUCAGGCGAACGAGUGAGAGAUCCUCAAGGAACUCGGCAAAAAAGCGGCCGUAACUUCGGAAUAAGGCCUCCCCGCCAACGUAUAGAAAUAUAUGGCAGGCGGGGCGCAGCGAAAGUACCCCUGGCGACUGUUUAUCAAAAACACAGCUCCCUGCGAACUCGUAAGAGGAUGUAUAGGGGGUGACGCCUGACCAAUGCGAGAAGGUUAACGAUGGCGGUCCUUCGAUUCGAUACUGCGUAUCUCACUCAGGAUAAAUCCUGGAUUUCUAGGGUUUACCCCGAGCGAGGUGCAUAGCACCGAGUCGAGGGGCUGACUGUCCGAAGCCCUCGUCAAUGUCGGCCGUAACUAUAACGGUCCUAAGGUAGCGCAAUUCCUUGUCGGGUGAGGAAGUUGCCCGAUGCGGCAGCGAUGCCGCAAUGAAACACCGGCUUAUAACGGUGAAGUUCUCGCUGGAGUUUGAGUAACAAGGCUCAAGCAAUGAAGGCAGGAUAAUACCGUGGGAAGUCGUCCCGACCAUAGCGUCGAGAUUGACCCCGUAACGACUUAGGUCGCCGUUAAUCAAUGGCGACCUAGAUAGAUUUGUAGUAUAAUGAAUCUAUAACAUGCCGGCUCUCAACAAAAAGAGAAAUUAUCGCGAGUAUAUAUCUGGAUAUGUAGAUGGUGAAGGAAGUUUUUGUGUAUCUUUCUCAAGACGAAAGAAAUUCUUGGUAGGAUGGGAAACCAAACCAAGUUUAUCUAUAAGUCAGAAUGAAGAAAGGGCCAACGUCCUUUAUCUCAUACAGAAAACUCUUGGGUGCGGAUUUAUGCGACGAGAUCUUUCGGAUAAGACUCUUAAAUAUGAAGUAAGAAGUCUUAACGAUUUGAUCGACCGCGUAAUACCACAUUUCGAGAAGUAUCCGCUCUUGUCUCCAAAGAUAAAAGAUUUUUAUCGAUUCAGACAAGUUUGCCGCCUUAUGAAGAAAGGGAAACAUCGAAGAGUGUCAGGAUUAAAAAAGAUAGUCAUGAUUGCUUGCAAAAUGAAUCCAAGCGGCAAAAGAAAAUAUAGUCAAAAAGAUAUUCUCAAGACGUUGAGAUGAAGAUAUAGUCUGUGCCAUUAGAAAUAGUGGAUUAACAUGGAGUUCCGACGCGCACGAAAGGCGUAACGACUGGGGGACUGUCUCGAGGAUUCGCUCGGUGAAAAUACAAUACCGGUGAAGAUGCCGGUU